GGUCCAAGCAAACAUGAGGCAGCUGCCAGCCGGCCUGGGCAGUCUUGUCUGCCUCGGCUGUGAAGUGGGGAGGCUGGCAACAGUUUCCUUCAGCGCCCAGGAUGCAGCCGGCUAAGGAGGUGACAAAGGCGUCGGACGGCAGCCUCCUGGGGGACCUCGGGCACACACCACUUAGCAAGAAGGAGGGUAUCAAGUGGCAGAGGCCGAGGCUCAGCCGCCAGGCUUUGAUGAGAUGCUGCCUGGUCAAGUGGAUCCUGUCCAGCACAGCCCCACAGGGCUCAGGUAGGGGCCAGGGUGGGCUGUGGUCAAGGGUGGGGGUGGGGAGAUCUGUUCUGGCACUGUCCUUUCUGAGGGCUCAAAGGCCAGCCUGGGACCCCUGCCUGGGCCACAUCGCCCCUGUCUCUAUUGGAGGUGUGUUUUCAUUCAUUCACACCCUUCCCCAUUCAUUGAGUGCCUGCUUCACACAGGCCACUGAGCUCCUAGUGGGACCCACAGAGCAUGGGUACAGAGAGCUGGGACCACACUGGGGUUUUCCAGUUGGCUAGAAAGACAGAGCCAGGCUGCAGAGUCCAACAAACCAGGCUCCACCCUGCCCAUUGCUCACGCCCUGAGUAAGCCAGGCCACCUCAUUGAUCCUUUCUAAGCCCUCCGUGAGAAGGCAGGCUGGAACCUGUCCACAGGGCACAUUUGAAGUUGGUGAUCAGGAGGCCCCACCCUCAGCCCCUCCUUGGUCCUGUUCAGUGCACCCCAAGGAUUGGUACUGGCUCUUUGCCUUGGGCUGCAUUCUGGUGGUGUGUUAACGAGAGAACGGGCAGAAACCACUGCCCUGGGCUUGCCAUGGGUGAUAUUUGGUGUUUGCCGAGUAUGACAGGGCUGAACAGGCAAUGGCAGCCUCUGGCGGCUCCCACGAUCUCACACACACAUGCAGACACCUCACACUCACACCUAUGCACACACACCGGUGCCUCUACCACACAUGAGUUUGCACACUCACCAUGCACACAUAGGUAGGCAUACCAUACACACUUGCAUACUCACAUACACACACACCACAUGCAGGCACGCACACACCAUACACACUGGUGGGAUCACACACGUGAGUAUGGUGCGUAUAAGAGUCUGCCUCUGACUUUAAGGAAAAGGUGCAGACUUGCCCUUGACAGCUGCAUCUUGUUUGCUGUCUUGGACUCUCUCUAGCUGUGUGAUUUCCAGGGAGCCUUGGUCCCCUGGCCAGGAGAAUGGGCACGAUCAGGGUCCCAGCCUCCUAGGCUUGAUGGGAGUCAUGAGUGGAGGGGAUCAACUGAGGGGUCUGGGCAAACAGCAGGCACAGUGGCUGACAGCCACAGCCAGAGGUCCAUGCCUGUGCACAAAGGGACUGGCUGCUACGCACCAGAUCCCCAUCCUUUACCCACAAAUGCCACUCCAGGGUGCUCCCAGCACGAUUCCAGCCCCCUCCCUUUUGCCACCAGCACCUGUGCUUCCCCACACAGCCCCUACCCAUCUGUGAUGCUGUCACCUUGGCUGAGACUUGUCCCCAACCCCUUCCCACGGAAGCGCUAGCACCUGUGAAAGCAUGGGUGAGGUCCACAUGCACCCCCAACUUCUCGGGGACGGGGGUGGCAGGUUUUGCAGGUGGCAGAAACAUGAUGAGGUCAUUAAAAGCACAUGCACAUAGCUCAACCGGGAAGGACCGCCUUCAGGGCACUGUUCAUUCUGCAUCGGAAUGAAAAUGCGUCUGUUCUCCCUUAGGGUGGGGGCGAGAGCACGGUGGCCAUCGCAUGUGCUGCGGGCUCAGGUCCACUCUGACGGGCACAGCUUCAGGUAGCUCGAGACUCAGAUUUCCUCCACUUCAGUCUUCCAGGGUUUUCUUGGUGACAACAAGUAUUUAAGGGGUGCUGCAGUGGAAUCCUCCCUCCAUCCCUCAGGUCCUGCAGAUGCUCAGCCUCAUCCUGCCGUCUCUCUGACGGGCAGAGGUGGCUCAGGACAGGCUGGGGCUGGUGUGCAUCCUUUCCCGAAGCUUUCUGCACACCCGUGACAGCAGCAACUAUGCUGAGUGGGGUGGACGGGGAGAAAGGCGACAGUGGGGCCGGCAUGGUGUGUUCAAGUCAGGGCGAGGGGAAGCACCCCUGCACGGCCCACCCCUUCAUGCCCCAUCCCACCUCAGGGCAGCUUCCUAGAGGGCAGGGCCUUUCCACACCCAGCUGUCAGGACACGGUUGCUGAACAACUUGUCAAGGGCACACAGGAGACAGGGCCAGGGCAGGGCCAGGGCACCAGCGAUGGGUUUGUUCCCCUGCAUGGAUGUGUUUACCGGACCUUGUGCCGGGACUGGGAGCAGAUGUGAACGACAUAUCCAAGAGCCUACUUGAUUGUGCAAAGGAGGCAGUGUGGAGCUCAUCACCCUGAUUUACCAAAGCUUCCACGGCAGCUCAGAGAGGUCACAUGACUCAGCAGAUGGCACAAAAAGCAGGGGUUGGGGUGGGGGUGGCUCGGACCCAGAGCUCCACGGUGCCCACCCUGACCAGCAUCUUUGGUGGGAGCUGAGGGACGAGGGAGCCCAGGGACCUCACGGACAGAGGAGCUGGGACUCUGAUGUGCCCUUUGUCUCCCUUGGCCAUAGCUCCUGGGUCUCCUGUCUUCAGUCCAAACACGUCCCGUGUGUGUCCCGCAAGGAGGCCGGGCUGGUGUGGUCACACUGAGGGCUUUGUGCGCGUGUGAAGUGCUGUGCCGUGUGCAGAUGAGGCAUCCUCACUCUUUGGGAGCUGGCACAGGCUCUGGGUGCAAAGAACAAUGGGGCCCAUUCAGUGUAGCCCCACUGCGUGCUCUGCGAGGCCCAGCACGGUGUCCUGAGCCUUGGGGUCCUGUGGGAGGGGGGCGGCCCAGACACUGUGCCCUUGUACUGGGGUUUUUCCAUUCAGCAGAAGUGGGGCCAGAGACACAUGUUGGGAACAGCUGGGAGUGAAAGCCAAGGCCCAGCCUGGGAGUCCUGGAGGCUUGGGCGAGGUAGAACGUCGGCAAGGAGUGGACAGGACUCAGGGGACUGGAGACACUGGGCAAGGGCUGCAGCAUCUGUGGCUGGGCCCUGGGUGGCCACUUCUGGGUGUGAAGACCCCAGGAUGGAGUCAGGAGGUGGCCAGCAGCGGGGCCUAUAAGAGGGGAGACCAGGAGACUCAGAGCACAGGCAGCCUGGCCCCACCCUACCCAGGAGAGGCGCCCCAUCCUCAGCCUAGAAGCUCCUUGGGCCUAGAAGCUCCUCUUCCAUGACCUGGAAGCUGGGACUCUGGCCUGCCCUGCAUCUAAAGCCCCUCCCUGCAGGACGCCUCUCCAGAGGCAUGGCCAGUGCCACAACUGGACAGACCUGUUUCUCAAGUUUGGUGCCCACAAGGGCUGUGGGACUUGGGUUUCUUCAACUGGAAUAAUAAUGUCACCCACAAAUAACCUGGGGUCCCAGCUGCAGACAACUGAAACAGGGCGGGCUCCAGGCCUCAGGAAGUUCACGGAAACUCUGGAGGACUAGAGAACGAGGUCUGAAUGGGACGAAGCCAGGACCCCACCUACCGCCUCGGGAGAUGCCUGGCAUCCUGGACCACUCUGGCAGGAACGCUCUAGCAGCUGCUGCACGCUUCUGUGUG
rnacentral:sRNA from 1 species